CGCAUCUGUGCAUGCAGCAUAUCAAUAAGCGGAGGAAAAGAAACUAACAAGGAUUCCCUUAGUAACGGCGAGUGAAGCGGGAAGAGCUCAAAUUUGAAAUCUUGAAAGGUCACCUUUCACGAAUUGUAGUUUAAAGAAGUGUUUUCUGUUACGAUCGUAAUAUAAGUUCUUUGGAAUAGGACAUCACAGAGGGUGAGAAUCCCGUCUAUGAUUGCGAUUUGUAGCUUUGUGAUACACUUUCAAAGAGUCGGGUUGUUUGGGAAUGCAGCCCAAAACGGGAGGUAAAUUUCUUCUAAGGCUAAAUAUUGGCGAGAGACCGAUAGCGAACAAGUACCGUGAGGGAAAGAUGAAAAGAACUUUGAAAAGAGAGUUAAAUAGUACGUGAAAUUGUCAAAAGGGAAGCGUUUAACACCAGUGUUGUUUUCUGAAAAUCAACCUCUGUUAGCUUUAUGCAUGUUUGUUUAGACCUAAUCAGCUAUCUUGCAUGUUCUAUUGUUUGCAGUGGUGCACCUUUUCAGUUUACAGGUCAACAUCAGUUUUUUUUACCGUAAAAAAGGUUAAAGAAAGGUAGCUCAUGGCUCCGGUCGUGAGUGUUAUAGUCUUUUUCCUAUGCGGUAGGAGAGACUGAGGUCUGCAGUGUAGGCUAUUUGGCUAGAUACUCAGGUGCUAUGUGAUACCAUUUCAUAAACAACUUGUUGACCUAUGUUUUGUCUAUUGCAUACUCGCUUGUACUAUCAUACCUACGCUUAGGAUGUUGACGAUCAGCUGAGCGCG
rnacentral:rRNA from 1 species